UCCAGGGCUAUUUAUGAAGCCGGAAGUGACCGUGUAUGUCCCGCAAACAUUGUCCUCGGAUCAUGGUACGAGUCAGAGCCGCUAGCUGUUUGCUUCCUAGGGCAUAAGGACCGUCGCUGCUACCUUCAAACGUUUGCGUUAUUAACAUGCAUACCACUCUCCCACACAUUACCACUAGACCUGUCCUACGAGAAAUGCUCCAGGGACUCCUUCAGGUUGGAAGAAAAGGAUGCUACAUAGUAACUUGAAACCUUAUGAAGACAUCAAGAUCCUUGUUAAAGAAGCAACAUGGUGGAAAAGCUUCAUGGCGUUGGAUUUGGCAAUCACUUCUUGGAUAUGACACCAAAAGCACAGGCAACAAAAGAAAAAGUAGAUAAAGUGGACUUCAUCAAACUUGAAAACUUUUGUGCCUCAAAGGACACUAUCAAGAGAGUGGAAAAGCAACUUACAGGAUGGGAGGAAAUAUUUGCAAAUCAUAUUUCUGAUAAAGGAUUAAUAACCAGAAUAUAUGAAGAAGUCCUACAACUCAACAACAACCAAAAAACAACCCUGUUUAAAAAUGGACAGUGGACUUGAGUAUACAUUUCUCCAUUCCAAACCCUCCCUGCCAUGUUGAUUUCUACCCUUCUGUGGUAUUCCAGCAGCUGUGAUAAACAGGAGGAGGUCUGUGCCAGUUACCAAUUUAUUCCCUCUUGGCUCCAAUUUCACCCUUCAUUGCUUGUUAUGCAAAAGUGGAGCUGGACCAUUUAAUCUUUGUCUCCAGAGGGCUCUGGAGAGUAAUUAGAGGAGGAAGGGAUCUUCCUUCUCAUUCCGAUGUACCCUUUUAGCAGGCUCCUGCAGCGUGCCUGGGUUCCUCAGUGCCCAGCUCCUGCAGUGCAGAUGGCUUCUCUAGCACCAGGGUUCUGCAGCUCAGGUAGCUCCUCCAGAGCCCACUCUGGCGGUGACAGUGACCAGCGGCAUCCAGCAGCCAGUAGUUUCCCUCUGAAACACCCCCAACCCUUGGUUUGCUUUGUGGCAGGGUGCCUCCAUUGGGACACCUCUCCAUGAAUGACUUUUCUUGCACCCUAGAAAGUAGGUUUCUGGCCAGUUCUGGAGGGCAAAUUUCCAGCAACUACCAUUGGUAUAGCACCAGGUGACUUAUUUGCCCAAUUACCAAUGGCCACAUUCUCUCCAGUAAGGUCUGAAUCUCAGCCCUGGUGCUCUACCUCAGCCUUGCAGGUGAUGCAUGCACUGUAUCCGCUGAUCUUAUAUUCUUUAGAAUUCUCUUUACUUUUUACUAGCCAGUCCCUUUUUAUUCAAAUCCCGUUAUGGUUAAUAAUUCUCGAUAUUAAAAUUUAGCUGUUCAAAUUACUGUGUGGCUUCCAUCUCCCAAUUUGACCCUGACUGGUUCAGGGUCCCAGCCUAACUCAAUAAGGAAGAAAGACACCCAGCCUCUCACCAUCAGUCAGUAUGGCGUGCUAACCCAGCAGUGGGACAGAGUGCUGGGAGCAGUGGGUAAGAAGGUACCUGGAGGGCCCAUGAAGAUUGAGAGAAUUAAGCCAAAAGGAUGAGUAGGGGACCGGGGCACUCCAAAUUCAUCAUCAACGCCUCCUCUUGUCUUUCUCCCCACCCUCACUAAAUCGCCAAGUUAUGUCAGCUCUACCCCUCAAGACUGGUCCAUGCUUCCCCCCACCCGCCCCCACUGCCACUCCUCAGGCCAGGCCAUCAUCAUCUCUGGCUAAUUUAUUAUGAGGGCCCUCUAAUUGUCCUCUUUCCCUCCAGGCUUGCUCACUUCAGCCUGUUCUCCACAGUGAAGCCGUGGGGAUUCUUCUAAAAGGCAAAUUUGAGUCAAAAUGGUCCUUGAUUAAAAACUGUUGUUGGUGGCUGCCUCUUGCCCUGAGGACAAAACCUGAACUCCUCAUUUGACCACAAGGCUUGGAAAGAUCUGGCCUCUGCUCACCUCCCCAGUCUUAUCUUUUGCCACUCCUCCCUACAAGAUCCUUACUUUCCAGCCACAUGGAAGGCCAGUUUCCUUAGGGACCUUUAUAAGUACUGUUCCCUCUUCCUGGAAACCUUCUCUCUAGCUCCCCCCUCACCCUUUCACUCUCAUCUUUGCUUCCUUAGCUCAUCUUUAGCCUCAGCUAAGACAUCUACUCCUCUGAGAAGCCUUCCCAAACCCGUCUCUCUCCUGAUCUGCCAAGGCACCUCUCAUGUCAAGUUCAGUCAAAAUCCUGUACUUUUCUCGUAAUGCUUAACACAGUCUGAUCACUGUCUGUUAACAUGUAUGUCUCCUCACUACUGUGAGAUAAAAUGGCAAGACAAAGAAAAAUGUAAACAUAAAUCUUUUCUGUCCUUUGGCCUCCUCUCUCCCCUCUCCCCUCCACUGUGCACGGUGCACCUGCAGUUAUGCAUCAAUCCGACCUCCCCAUCAGAGGAAAUACCUGCUUGGCCAUAAAGAGCAACAUUCCCCAGCACCAACAAGACAAGUCCUUAAAAGAUAACAUUCCUUCUCGGUCUUGUAAGGGUUCACGGUGACCCACCCCUUGCCCUUGCAGAUCUGGGUUGUGUAAACUCCCAAGAAUAUGUCACUUAAUGCACAGCCUGCUGUCUCAAAAAACUUGUAUAAGUGUGCUUUGGCUUCUAACAGAGCAGGACAGUUCUUAGAGCUC